rnacentral:rRNA from 1 species
CCGGACCGGCGCACCGGGGUGAGGUUAAACACCGUAAUUGGCCAAACCCUUGGGUACCCGGUUCCUAACAGGUGGAUAACCGGAAGAAAUUCCGACUAAUACAGCAUAACACUCCUGAGGGACAUCCCUUGGGAGUCAAAGGAGGCAACUCCGGUGACGGAUGGGCAUGCGGCGCAUUAGGUAGUUGGUAGGGUAACGGCCUACCAAGCCGACGAUGCGUAGGGGUUCUGAGAGGAAGGUCCCCCACAUUGGAACUGAGACACGGUCCAAACUCCUACGGAAGGCAGCAG